CCACUGACGGUGUGGAGCAUUACUGCAGGUGGAGGAGCUCCAAUCUGCUGACUCCUGCUUCUUUCCUGAGGUGUUGAUGGGUGUCACUGCUGAUUCAGCACAACUCGCAUCUGCACCGACGCAGCACGUCACACAAACAUGCAACACAAGUGUGCCGGCAGUUUAAA